rnacentral:tRNA from 2 species
GGGCCUAUAGCUCAGUUGGUAGAGCUUCCGGCUCAUAACCGGACGGUCGGGGGUUCAAUUCCCUCUGGGCCCACCA